GGGCCAGUGGUGUAGUUGGUAGCACACCCCCCUUCUUUGGAUGGUAAGAGGUGGGAAAGAUGGCUAUGGGUUUAGGGGCGGAGGUGCGGGUUCGAUCCCCGCGUGGUCCA